UAACACCAGUGAAUUUGAGCACUGUUUCCAUUGUGUGGAACCAUGUCAGGGUAUUAAUGUUGAAAAUCUGUUUCCAUAGUGUGGAACCAUGUCAGGGUAUUAAUGUUGAAAAGCUGUUUCCAUUGUGUGGAACCAUGUCAGGGUAUUAAUGUUGAAAAGCUGUUUCCAUUGUGUGGAACCAUGUCAGGGUAUUAAUGUUGAAAAGCUGUUUCCAUUGUGUGGAACCAUGUCAGGGUAUUAAUGUUGAAAAGCUGUUUCCAUAGUGUGGAACCAUGUCAGGGUAUUAAUGUUGAAAAGCUGUUUCCAUUGUGUGGAACCAUGUCAGGGUAUUAAUGUUGAAAAGCUGUUUCCAUUGUGUGGAACCAUGUCAGGGUAUUUAAUGUUGAAAAGCAACCUCUAUAGAAAAACAUAACUGCAUAUGUGUCGGGAAGUAAGCAAUGUGGAAUUUGGUUAUUCAAGCUUUUCCCCUGAUACGUAGACAUGCAUAACAGGGGCAAGUUGGAGUUUGUUGUUUUUCUUGAGGAACUAACAGAUGUGGAUGUGAGUCUCUGAGUAAUUUUGCCAUCUGAAGCAUUAUAAGUAGUGAGUUUUCGUAUAGUUUGUUUUUAGCUGAUAAAAGUGGUUUGUUUAUUUGUUUGCUAGUUAUGGUCAAUUUUGGAGUUUGAUUUAAUUUAGGUAAACAUUGUAUUCUGGCGUGCUUAAGUAGGAUUCUUCAUUCCGGGACGGAUGGAAGUUAUCUAAAAUAAGUCAUUUAAAGGAGCCAUGGGAGAAUGCGAAUGCAUAUUUAUUAAAUAUCUGGGAUUAAAUUACGGAUUUCUUACAUUGAGAAAUGUACGACAUUUGCGGCAGAUGGGGAAAAAGUAAUACAAUAAUGUUAUCGGGUUAAUUGUAUCUAAGGGUAGCAUGUUCAUUUAAGUAAACAUAUACAUUGAUGUUGUUUAAAACUUAUGAUUAAUGAUUUGAGGUAAAGGGGAAUCAUCAUUAGGUUUAGUUUAUAGUUCACUUUUGAGUUUCUGAAUCGAGGUAGCAUAGUGAAUGCUAGUUAGGAGUGUUGUGUUCUUCUGGGAAAAUUGAUGUUUAGGUGUCUCACUUUUAGAUGUUUCCUGGGAUUAUAAUCUUGGGGAGAAUGAGGCCAUAAACGACCAAAUUAAAACAGGUCUGCAAGUAUAUACACAUAAAACCAUUAUUAGGACUAUUUGUUUUAGUGCAAAGGUAUUUUAAAGAGGUACGCUCACAUAUGGAACUUUAUGAGUUUUUAGUUUAUGAGUUUAAUUAUACAAGUGAAUUUUUUUUGUAUUUGUAUAAUGAUUGUGGUCAUAUUGAGUUACUAGUUUUAAGGUAAAUUCAUUAUCAUGGAGUUUUGGUUGGGGGGUUAGAAUUAUUGUUUGAACCGCAAAUGAGAAAGUGGUUCAGGAUUCUGUUUUACAACAUUAGCUGUGAAGUUUUUGAAUGGGCUAUUAAUGAUUUGGUAUUGUAACAGAGAAAAAGUCAUAUUUAUCAUUGAGAAUAAAUAGGGGAAGAUAAGAUAGAUUAAGCCAAUAGGGCAGGGAAUUACAUAGAAAAAUAAGUAGCAGUUUUUAGGGGUGAUAAAUUACUGUAGAUAAGGUAUUCCACACUUUGCAACACAUAUUAAAUCCAUGUUAUUGUCAGAUAGAAUACUGAGGAUCCCUGAAGGAAAGGGCUUGUUAGUGUAGGAAGGAUUUUAAUAUGGUUAGCAUUUAUUAGACCUUGUUUGAUUAUUAUAAGUUUUUAAAUAGUAUUACAUUUAACAGGAAUAUAGGACAUCUGUGAUGAUUUAGGAUUAUUGUUAGGAUUAAGAUAGAUUGAUUAAGGAAAUGUAAGGACUUUAGAGAAAAGCCGCUCAUAGACAUGUUUUUUCUAAAAUCAAUGAUUGUAGAUAAAGUCAAACAGUUAGAAGCUUAGUGGAAUUUGAGAGAUAUGAGAGAAAAGGGUUAUCGGAAUAUAUAUAUUUAAGAAAAUAUAUAAGUAGCACAGAUAGUUCUUUAAAGUAGAUAAGACACUUGACAGAGUAUUGUUACAGGAUUGACAUGAAUGGACACCCAAGGGAGAAUUGGACAUGUGGAACAUUUAAAAGGGGCUCCUACAUGAUGAUGUUAGACAUUAGGAUAAUUGACUAAAUCUUAUCUAAGUCAUUGUUUAAGAGUAGGCAAGGAUGUUACCUGGGCAGAGCCAGGUAACAAAGGGGGGAUGGGUAAAUAGUGUUCUAGAAUAGGAUGUGACCUACGGGAUAAUUAACUAAUAAAAAAAAACUUUUUUUAGCUAAUAAACAGAACAAAUGAGAAACUGUUUGUUAACCAAACCUGUAUGUCCAAGAUUUUAUGCACUACAGGUGAAUUACAGGUGAAGUCACUCAAUCCAGUCCCAGAGGCUUGUUGGGGGGAUCAUACCAAGGACUCCUGGUGACAGCUAGCUGAAAGAGCUACCCGGAUUCAUAUCGCACUGCGGGAGGGUAAGACACCCUGACACUGACGAACAAUAACAGAGUUCGAGAGGAGAACUGGAAUUAACAGUAUUCUGGGGGCCAUCUCUCGAAUGAAAAAUACCUUACCUGUCCUUUUCUCACUGUUGUUGUUCAUAGAAGUGAAGAUGUGUCUGGCUCUUGCUAAGUGAUGUGUUCUCGGGGAGAGGGUGGGGCUUCACAUGGAAGCUGUUCGUCUGAGCUGUCUUAUCAUGGGUGACAUAUUCCUGAUACAGCACGUCCUACUCGAGUAUGCGGAGAGUGGUAAUUUGACCUGUGGUUUAGACGAUGAGGAUUUUGUUCCAAAAUAGAAUAGAUACCGGUGCAGGUUCCCAUAUUGAUCGUGGACACAGGUCAUAGCUCAUGGGGAGAGAGGGCUAUAUGAAUCCACUCACCCAGUAUGGAAGAAGGUAGAGUAGAGUGGUAUAAAGAGACGCUUAACCCAUUAAAUAGAAAUGAAGGAGGAUCAAGGGUUGUGGUAGGGAGAUGACCAGGUCUUGGUCGACACCCUAGUAUGGUUCUGGGUAGAGGAGUUUGGGUCGGUAUGGUAAAGCUGUUCAUGAAAGCAGGAAUGCCAGAUAAUGACAGUUGUAUUGAUUUGCACUAUUUAUAUCCCCAGGUUCCCCUUUAAAUCAAGACUUCCUCCCUUUACAGUGACAGGAGGAGAUUAUUACUGUUUGGCCCAGUACAGUACACAUGGGAAAUAUGUGGGGGAAGAUAGUACCUGCAAUAGGACAGAGAAUAUGACCACUGACGAGACCAUGUCUGAUUUGACAGGCUGGUUGAACUCUGGGGAUUUCAAUAAGGUAAAGUGGGCCAGGGUUGACAUCUAGUGGUUGUGUGGGGGAACAAUUCUAUCAACCACAGAUUGGGUGGGGUCAUGUGCGUUGGGGAUGUCUUUUACACUCAUUCAGACACCAGGACAUGAAGUUAUCUAAACGGGAAAAGAGAAGCACUCCAUCUGGGUCAUUUGAUGACAAGGUAUACAUUGAUAACAUUGGGGUUCCAGGGGAGGUGCCAGAUGAGUCAUAGCAAGAAAUCAGAUCCUAGCAGGAUUAGAGUUAAGCAUUUCCGGGGCUCUACUCUCACAAGAACGUGGACUGGAUUAAUUAUAUUUAUGAUAAUCAACAGCGCUUUAACAGGUAUACCAGAGAUGUUAUUAAAGGUUUUGCAGAACAGACUGAAGCAACCAGCUGGAUGGUUUGGCAGAAUAGAAUUGCAUUAGAUAUGUUAAUGGCUGAAAAGGGAGAAGUAUGCGUGAUAAUCAGGACCAUGUUUGUGCUUACAUCCCAAAUAACACAGCUCCGGACGAAUCAGUGCCCGAAGCCUCAGCUGGUUUGACCACCCUGGCUCACGGGUUGCAGAAACUCUGGGGUGGAUACUUCUCUGAACUAAAUUGGAUUGACAGUGUGUAUGGAAAAAUGCUGUGUUAUGGGCUACAUUCACCUGUGUGACUGUUUUAGUUUUAUGCGGCUGUUGUCUAAUUCCCUGUGUGCGAGGCCUUGUUUCCAGGACUCUGGAGAGAUCAAUGACACAACAGAUGGUGCGGUAUGGGCCGAUUCCAGGUUCUGACCCAUGGAGGACUGAAGGCAUGUCUACAGAGGAAGUGGACGAAUCUGGAUCUUUCAUUUGUGGGGAAUUUAUGUUUGAUGAGACUAGUGCUGAGAUGAAGGGGAAUUAGAUUGUAAUUUGUUUCACUGAUUAAACUGUUUUUUAAUGAAGGUUGUAACGGAAAUCCUGAAAGAAGAGUUAUGAUUCUGAUGUAGGUUUUAAAAACAGUUGGAUUUGAGGUUAGAUUUGAUUAAUGAUGGGUGAAGAGUCGGAUAAACAUUUAUAAUAAUGUUGGUUAUGUGUCUAUUCAUAUGAUAAUCUGAUAAACCUUUAUAAUAAACUUAGUUAUUAGUAGGUUAAUAUGUUAAUAAAACUAGAUGUAGAUUUGAAUGUAUAAUAUUUAAUCAAAGGGAGGAUUGUUGGAGGAAAUUAUAGUUGAAAUGAUUAAUAAUGUAUACAUUUCAAUUAGAACCAAUUAUUCUAAUACUAUUAUGUUAUGGGAUGAAAUAUAUGGGCUCUUGGUUAAGCUGUUACUGAAAAUGUAAGCAAAACGAAUUAAUUGUCUGUACCUCGCGGGAAGUUUAAGGGAGAGGGAUGGGGUAUCUUUUCUGACAGAUAAGAAUGGUCCUUGAUGUACCAUUUGUGGAGGAGAAGAUAUCUUUUAGACAGAUUGGAAUGUCUGGUUUAUGAGGGGAGUAGAAGAAAUCUCCGGACCUGAAAACACUGGGCUAUUGUGGGAAUCGGAGAGAGUGGGAAACUGAUGAUGUCAUUUUCAGUUUAUAACCUGUGGAAAUAUGUGUAUGUGGUCAGUACUCACUUGAAUUACACGAUGUUUACCUGGCUUUUAAGACUGGUCUCGAUCUACUUCAUGCAUAAUUAAUGAACUUACACCUCAUUAAUGAACUAGAGCGAGUGUGAAUCUGAUUUGGAUAUAAAACAUAUAGGAAUUUAGAAAUUCCACUAACAUAUAGUGACCCUGCAUCACAACACUCUGUUGCUAUAGUAACCCUGCAUCACAACACUCUAUUGCUUUAGUGACCCUGCAUCACAACACUAUGUUGCUAUAGUGACCCUGCAUCACAACACUCUGUUGCUAUAGUGACCUUGCAUCACAACACUAUGUUGCUAAAGUGACCCUGCAUCACAACACUCUGUUGCUAUAGUAACCCUGCAUCACAACACUCUGUUGCUAUAGUGACCUUGCAUCACAACACUAUGUUGCUAUAGUGACCCUGCAUCACAACACUCUGUUGCUAUAGUAACCCUGCAUCACAACACUCUGUUGCUAUAGUGACCCUGCAUCACAACACAAUGUUGCUAUAGUGACCCUGCAUCACAACACUCUGUUGCUAUAGUGACCCUGCAUCACAACACUAUGUUGCUAUAGUAACCAUGCAUCACAACACUAUGUUGCUAUAGUGACCCUGCAUCACAACACUCUGUUGCUAUAGUGACCCUGCAUCACAACACUCUGUUGCUAUAGUGACCCUGCAUCACAACACUCUGUUGUACAAAUUGUACAAUUUGUUUAAUUCAAUUCCACAUAUUUAAUUGUUUUGUAUUUCUUUUCAUAUUUGUUUCAUGUUUCAACCAGUCGCAGGUUAACAUCAACCUGACAGAGGAAAUGUUAAAUCAAUAAACAAACUGUUUUCACAAUUAACAGCC